rnacentral:lncRNA from 1 species
AACUAUUCAGAUAAAGAAGUUUGUUUCAUCUGCUUAAUUAGUUUCAAAAUCUCUCAACAAAAAUGGUUAUUUCAUUUGCAUUGCUUUAGCAUUCUUGAUGGCUUUGUCGUUUUCAAGCAUUAACGUUGGCCAAGCUGCUCGUCACCUUCAGCAGCUGCCUCCAAUGCCAACUUUGCCUACAGCAACACUUCCACCAUUGCCAUCUAUCCCUAAUCUCCCACAGCCAACCAUACCAACAAUGCCAGGCCUGGGGCUCUUCCACCACUUCUUACCAUGCCUGCUUUUCCCACAUGGCCUCCUCUGCGAAGCAUGCCCACAGUCCCAACUACAAUUCCCUCUAUUCCUUUCCUUUCUCCACCACCUUCUCCUUCUACCCCUUAAAAAUCCCUUUUGGCUUACGGGACCCAGUCCAGAGUCGGGACAUCCUACUGUUCUCAUCUCAUAUGGGAUUGAAAGUGAUACUUACGAACUCGAGUUUUUAAUCAGCAUAUAUAAGUACUUAUUUGUUUACUUUCUCUCUGAAGAUUUGAGCCGUCUUUGUAUGUUGAUUUUUGGGAACUAUUGUUUGCUUAUUUUCACCACAUAUGGUAUUUGUUUGUCUAAAUGGGAGUUCCCAUUAUUUGGUGCACUUAUUUAUAUAUGAUCGAAACUAAUAAAACAGUCACUACGCCAAAACAGGUCUUUAGCGGCGUAUUUUGUGGCGUUUGGAAAACAAACGCCGCUAAAAAUUGAACAUUAGCGGCGCAUUAACGAAAACGCCACUAAUAAUAAGCAAUAGCGGCGAUUCACAACAAGCGCCGCAAAAAAAUAAGGCCAACGACGCCGUUUACUAAGUUUUUGGGCCAUUAGCGGGUUUUUAUAAAAACGCUGCUAAUGCUCGGGGGACUUUGCGGCGAUUUCUAAAAAGCGCCGCAAAAAACCUAAUGCGAACGACGUCGUUUUCGAGUUUUUGUCCCUUUUGCGGCGCUUUUUUAAAAGCGCCGGUAAUGCUCAUAUCUUUCGCGGCGUUUUCUGAGAAACGCCGCAAAAAACCUAAGGGCAACGACGCCGUUUUCUUUGUUUUUGGGCCUUUAGCGGCGCUUUCUUAAAAGCGCCGCUAAUGAUUUGUUCUUUAGCGGCGUUUUUUUGGAAGCGCCGCUAAUAGUAAUAAAAAACCAUUCCAAUUAUCUCAUGAUUUGAUAUAUUUUUUAUUAUAAGAUGAAUAUUUCGUUGUAUUUAUUAUAUAUUGGUCAAAUUUACAUUUAAAUGAUAACAAAUAAUAUUAAUGUUUAAUACAAAAUGUUUUUAUUAAUUAAAGAGAAGUCCUAAUUAAGUCCUAACUAUUUAUUAUUAUUUUGCAAUCACAGUUUAUUUAAACUACUUUAGUAGAAAAAUAUAUAUAUAAAAUUAUGAGUAAAAUAAAAUAUAAUAAAACUUAAAUUGUUGUGUUGUAAAGAAUAAAAAGUAGAAAAAAAUUUGAUAUAUAGUUCGACUAAAUUAAUAUAUAAAUCAAACAAAGUAAUAUAAAACACCAAAUUAAUAUCGUGAUUAAUAAUAUUAUAUAUUAUUUAAUUAGUUGGGUUAGUACGGAUAAUGAUGAAUAAUUAUGAUAAUAUGCAUGGGACAUGGCAUAUAGCUUCCUAAAACGAUGUGGAGUGGGCACCAAACUCUAAUAAUAUUUUUGUAGUCCAUGCCCGAGUAGAAUGGGUUGAAACAUCGAUCUUUUUCUCUGGAUAAUGAUAUGCAAAGUGAGAUGCUUAGGGGUUAGGGGUCUAGAGGUUAGACGUUAGGCUUUAAGACUUAAGGUUUAGGGGUUUAGGGUUAUAGGGAUCGGGUUAGGGUUUAGGGUCUAGAUUAAUUUUUUAAUUUAUAUUUUAAAUAUAUGUUCUUUAUGUACGUAAUUGUCUUAGAGAUAAUUUUAAAUUUAAUAGACUGAAAUUAUGAGUAUAUAUAUAGUUGAAAUUAUGGCUUAAGAGAUAUAUAAUAUAUGUUAUAUUUAAUUACUGAGAUUCAUACCAUUUGAUAUUAUAAGAAUCUAAAAUAUUUGUUUUGUACUACAAUAAUAUUAUGAUUGGGAUUCUUGGUUUUUGAGUUUGGGGUUUAGUUUUUGGGGGUAAGGGUUUGUGGUUUGGGGUUUGGGGUUUGGGAUUUGGGUUUUUAAGUUUAGAUCUAGUUUAAUGUUUGGGGUUAGGGGUUUGGAAAUUUAAGGGUCGGUUUUGGGUUUAGGGUUUAAAGAUAAGUUAUGAUAUAAUAUUUGAUUUUGGGGUUUGUUUAUGGUUGUUUCUAGUUUUUAGGUUCAGGUACGGUGUUCCGGCUAACAGGUCACGGGUCAUGAGUGUAAGGGUUUAAAUUGAAUGUGGAUAUUUUACAAUAUAAUUCGAAUUAAAUUGAGUUUAAAUUAUCAAUUUAAUAAAUAUAUAUAUGAAAAAGGAUUAAAUCCCAGAAGCUUACAAAAAUUAGAUGGUUUUAGGGUUUAAAUUGUAUUCAUUGAAAACGACGCCGUUUCUAGUGGAUUUGCAUUAGAAUUAGCGGCGCUAAACAUGAAACGCCGCAAUAGAUGAAAUAAUACCGGCGUUUACUAUAAAAGCGCCGUAAAAUACUGUAAGUUGUGAAGAAAACGGCGCCGUUUUCUUAUUACAUUUAGUGGCGUUUUAGAUAAAACGCCGCAAGUAUGUUUUCUUUGUUACGGAAACGGAGGCUCAACCAUACCCUGGCAAUGGCGUUACACCCAAAACNNNNNNNNNNNNNNNNNNNNNNNNNNNNNNNNNNNNNNNNNNNNNNNNNNNNNNNNNNNNNNNNNNNNNNNNNNNNNNNNNNNNNNNNNNNNNNNNNNNNAAAGAUUACACGAGUUUGCAUUAAACGACUGCGUUUGACCUUAUAUUUAGUGUCACUAUAUAUAAACGCUGCAAAAUCGAAAUGGUGUUACGAAAAACGGCGCCGUUUUUUAUUACAUUUAGUGGCGUUUUAGAGAAAAUGCCGCAAGUAUGUUUUCUUUGUUACGUAAACGGCGUCGUUUUCCUUUGUUAUUAGUGGCGUUAUACCCGAAAUGCCUCAAAUAAAUUUUAAAGAUUAUAGGAGUUUGCGUUAAACGACUGCGUUUGACCUUAUAUUUAGUGGCGCUUAUAUAUAAACGCCGCAAACUCGAAAAUGGUGUUACAAAAAACGGCACCAUUUUCUUAUUACAUUUAGUGGCGUUUUAGAUAAAACGCCGCAAGUAUAUUUUCUUUGUUACAGAAACGGCGUCGUUUUCAAGGAUAUUUGUGGCGUUACACCCAAAACGCCGCAAAUAUAUUUUAAAGAUUACAGGAGUUUGGUUUAAACGACUGCGUUUGACCUUAUAUUUGGUGGCGCUUAUAUAUAAACGCCUCAAAAUCGAAAUGGUGUUACGGAAAACGACGCCGUUUCCUUAGUUGGUUUUAGUGGCGCUUUUAUUAAACGCCGCAAAUUUGCAUUACAACUUAAGGAAACUGCGUCGUUUUCCAUUGUUAGUAGUGGCACUUUGCUUAAAACGCCACAAUGUUGUUUUAAUUUUAAUACAAACGAUGCCGUUUUCUAUAUAUUAUUCGUGGCGUUUUUUCUAAAACGCCAAAAGGUUUAGUUACUUGAUGGGGAAACGACUGCGUUUGGCGAUAUAGUUAGUGGCGUUUGUUUAUAAAAGCCGCAAAGGGGUUAAAUAUGUUGACGUAAACGACGUCGUUUGUUUUCCACCAUUUUGACCGAAACAAAACCAAAUUAAUUCCCCGAUUCUCCACCCCCCAAAAGAGACAUCUCCCCCAAAUCCCUAAAAUUUCCCCUAAUUCCUAAUAGUUCCCCAACGUAGUCCAGAACGGCGCCGAUUUCUUUGCUGCAUCACAGCCUCCGUGCGUAUCCGGUACCGCAACCAUCGGUAAGUUCGUCAACUUCCUUUUUCUUCUUCAUGCGCCAUCUGUAAUUAUACAAGCUAUCUCCAAUAUUCUAUCAGUCUCAAUAUUCAAACCUGCAUAGACGAGAUGAAUGCGAUUCUUACAUCACAUAAUCCACCAUCGGCGUAAACUAAAAUUAGUCAUAAGUAUCAUUUUCUAGGGUUUACCAGUCAUUUCCAAGUCAAUCCAAACAAGGGGUAACUUGUAGUUUUCCGAAAGCAAUGCCGGUUUCAGUUCAGUUGAGCCCUUCCCAUUGAUUUUGCUCUUACCUGUCAAUCAUAAAAAAAAUUUAUCAAUCAAGCACACCCCCAAAGUUCAAAUGAUUCUAACCCUAAACCCAAAGGCAAUGAUUGAAAGACGAAAGUAGAUAAGCGGACCUGAAGGUUUGGAAGCAGAUGAUGAAGCCGGUGGGGGAUGAUGAUCGUCCACAUCAAUAUCCAGCAACGAAAACGCAUUCGAUAGCCUAUCCAUUCUUCUUCUAAAAAGCUUUUAGGUCAAUUUGAAAUCCCAGAACGAUUUUCCGGCGCUACUCCGGACUUUCAGUUCAGCACGGGUUGAGCCUAAGUUUCUUCUUUUUCCCUUUUCUUUACCUUCAAGUAUAAAUAAAUUCUUCAAUAUCUUUGCCAAAAGAUUUUAUCAUUAUUAUCUCUAAUUACUUUUUUUAAGCUAUUUGUAAAAAAAUAUUAAUAUAUGGCAGAAUUAAAAUGCAUUGUCACUUUUCAUGUGGUUACUUAAUCAAUUAAUAGAAUGUAGUACUAAAUUAGGUCAAGCAGAAAUUUAGGAGUAAAGUGAGAAAAAUGAUAUUUUUAAGAUCAUUUAAGUAUUAUAAUUUUAUAAGAUUUUAAAAAUUAAAUAAUUAAAUAAUUAAAAUUUCAAAUUUGUUUUUGGUUAUUUUUUUAAUUUCAAGUUUAAAUAUAUAUGCAUUAAUUAUUAUUUAUAUUAGNNNNNNNNNNNNNNNNNNNNNNNNNNNNNNNNNNNNNNNNNNNNNNNNNNNNNNNNNNNNNNNNNNNNNNNNNNNNNNNNNNNNNNNNNNNNNNNNNNNNUUGAUGUGGACUAUUAAUGACUUUCCCGCUUAUGCCAAUUUAUCCGGUUGGAGUACCAAGGGUCGUUAUGCGUGUCCUUGUUGUGCUGCACAAACAUGUUCGCAAUGGUUGUACAAUGGGAAGAAGUUCUCUUACAUGGGGCAUCGUCGGUGGUUACCGAAAAAUCAUAGAUUUAGAUGUUAUGCACAUUGAGAAAAAUGUCUGCGAGAACAUUGUGGGUACAGUUUUGAGUGUCGACGGAAAAUCAAAAGACAAUCUUCAGAGUCGACUUGAUUUAGUCCAAAUGGGAAUCCGACCUGAUCUUCAUCCCAAUCCACUUCCGAAUGGGAAAUAUCGGUUGCCGCCUUCUAUUUUUUCAAUGUCAAAGAUGGAAAAAGAAUUGUUCUGCACGGUGUUGAAGGAUAUAAAGGUUCCAGAUGCGUAUGCAUCAAAUAUAUCUCGAUGUGUUAGUGUUAAAGAUCGAAGAUUAUAUUCGCUAAAAUCACAUGACUAUCACAUCUUGAUGCAAGAUUUACUGCCAGUGGCUCUACGAUGUUGUAUGUCCAAGAAGGUGACGUCUUGUAUAAUUGAACUAUCCAACAUAAUGAAAGCCAUUUGUGGCAAAGUUUUGGACGUUCAAGAACUUCAGAAGGUACAGGAUCGAGCCGCUUUGACUUUAGGCAACAUGGAGGAAAUCUUCCCACCUUCCUUCUUCACCAUUAUGGUUCACUUGAUAAUCUAUCUCCCACACGAAGCAAUUCUUGGCGGACCCGUUUUCUAUCGAUGGAUGUAUCCCAUAGAAAGGUGUUAAUUAAAAUUUUUAAAGUUUUCCUUCAUUCACCUCUAUGCCUUUAGUUUCAAUAAUUAAGAAAUGUUGUAUAUUGUGUUUAGGUUUCUAUCCAAAUUAAAGUCUUACUGCCGCAACAAGCGAUAUCCAGAAGGAUCGAUUGCUGAAGGCUACUUGGCAGAAGAAUGUAUGACCUUCUGCUCAAGAUAUUUGGAAGAUGUUGAAACCAGGUUAAACAGACCAAAUAGGAAUGUUGGACUCACGGACCAUAACUUAGCCGAUACUUAUUUGUUCCAAAUUUUUGGAGAACCAAUCGGAAAAGUUAAAAUUGCAGAAUUAGAUCAUUUAUCGUAGGUACAAGCACAUCGAUAUGUUCUGUUUCACCACGAAUUAUUGGAACCUUUACGGAAGUAAGUUCUACAAAUUUGAUAAAUAUUUAUCAAACUAAUAACUGUUUAUCUUCUAACAAAGAUCACAUUUUUUUAACACAGUGAGUACAAACAAAUUUUGAGAUCUCGUUUGCACUCCCGAAGAACACAACAUCAAGAUAUCAAUAAGUUGUUUACAGAAUCUUUUUAUGAAUGGUUAAGCCAAACGGUAUGCAGUUCGAGCUUCCGCUUACAAAUAAUAAUGUUUUCUUAUAACAAAUGAAUUACUCAGUUUACUUUCCAUUCAAUAGGUUUGGAGUGGGAAGAACGUAACCGACGAUGUUAAAUGGCUCUCCCAAGGUCCAAAUCGAGUGGUUAAAAGAUAUAGUGCGUUCCUCAUCAACGGAUUCAGAUUUCAUACAAAAUAUCGCGAGAGGUUGAGGAGAACGCAAAAUUGUGGAAUAGUUGUCAAUUCUGCAAUUACAAGUUAUGCUAGUGCUAGGGACAAUAAUCCUGUCGAGGGAAAUGUGGAAUAUUUCGGACAACUUACUGACAUAAUUCAGUUGGAUUACUACGACAAAUGGAAAGUUGUCUUAUUUCGUGGUGAUUGGGCCGAUGUUAAUACAGCUCGUGGAAUUAAGCAAGAUCAAUUUGGUUUUACAAUGGUGAACUUUGACCGAUUGAUUCACACAGGACAACAACUGAUAGAUGAGCUGUAUGUAUUCUCAUCUCAAGUCAAACAAGUUUUUUACUCAAAAGAUCCAACUGAUGAGGGUUGGUACGUUGUACUCCGUAACAUCCCUAGAGACUUGUUUGACAUGGGCAGUGGAAGUAGAGAUAACAUCGACGAUAGAUCAGUAACUUUGCCCUUUCCAGAACAAAACUUAAACGAUAAUACCCCUAGUACUAGUGCACAAUUUGGAUGGGUUCGUCAGGAUAUCGAUGAAGAUAUUUACGAAUAAUGAUGUAGUAAGAUUUUACGAUUGUUUAAUUAUAUGUAAUAUCAUAAUUUAAAUCUUCGUCUUAUUAUAUAUUUCAACUGUUUUAUAUGUGUUGUUAUUGUUGUAAUUAGUUAUUAAGUUGUUAACUAUUUUAUGUGUAUUGUAGAUAAAAUGCCUAGAAGAAAAAUUCUAAGGGGAGCAUUGUUCAAAAUAAUCCAAACUCGACAGAAACAAAUAGUACUGAACAACAGACAGCAGUUGGAUCUUCAAAUGUUCCGAUUACAGCUGAGGAUCCUACAGAAGUUCAAAGUAAUUUUACAUUUAAUUUACAUGCGUGUUUUUGUUAUAGUUGAUUUAUUUUUCAAAUUCUUAUAUUAUAAUAUACCAUUUGUAGCUGAAAAUGGUGGGACGCGCAGAGGUCGAGGACGUACGCUACUUAGAGAGUUGUACGAGUUAGAUCCAGUCGAGCGUGUCAAAGUUGGACGAAACAGUUUUGGUCAGCCUGUUGGAUCAGAAGCUCGACUUUUAGCUGGAUACAUGGGCAUUUUAGCACGAAAUCCGAAUAUGUUGCCUAUAAACUACGAGUCAUGGCAUCAAAUGUCCGAUAGCAACAAAAACCAAGCCCUCGAUAAUAUUAAGGUAACAAAAUGUUAAUGUCAUCUAUAAUGCUUGGGAAAUAGUUUCAUUUAUAUUUACUUUAUUAACUUGUGUUUUUUGUGUUUUGUAGGCGAGGUUUGCUUUAGAGGUCUCGGAUGCUUAUGUAAAGAAGGCAUUGGGAAAAAGAUGGAGAGACAACAAAAGUACUUUGAAGAAAAAUUAUUAUAAGACAAAAACAACCAUCGAUGAGAAAUUGCAAAAUGUCCCGCCGGGUAUGUUGAGGUACCAAUGGGAAGAUGCGGUUAGAUUUUGGCAUUCGAAUAAAGGCGAGGUCUGACGUACUUCUAAACUAUUGUAAUUAUUUUGGUUUAUAGUAUUUUCUAUUUACGUACUAAAAAAUUUCAUAACGUAGGAUCGUGAACAAGUUGGAAUAAGCAGCAGGCAGAAACAAAAAUUCACCCACACAGCCGGGUCGAGAAGUUUCGCAUGUGAAGCUGAGGCGGAGGUAUUUUUAAAUUUUUUAAUAUUGUCGAAUAUGUAUAACUUUCUAUUAAAUAAUAUUUAUACUACUAUAUUGUAGGAACGGUCGUCCGGUCAAAAAGUUGGACGCCUUCAACUUUUUGAAAUUACACAUAGGAAGAAAGAUGGAUCUCCCAUGACUCCUGAAGCUGCUGAAAUAAUGGUACGUUUACUUAAUACGAUUUGACUUAUUUUAGUUAUUUAUAGUGUUUAUUUUCUAAUGGUUUAAUUCAUUGCUUGUAAUGUGACUAUUGUUAUGUUGCAUAUGUUUUUCAAUAUAUAAUAUUGCGUUCCUAACUAUGUGAUAUAUUUAUUAGGAAAAACUAAAGGAUAAAAAGGCGGAGUACGAAGCAAUUGCUUCUAGUGAUAGUUCGGUUCAUCUUGAAGAUAUUGAUAAUCGGAUUAUUACUGAAGUUUUGGGUCCUGAAAGGUAUGGUCGGGUUCGAUUUCAAGGAUCUUUUGUUAGCCCAACCCAAUAUUUUGGAUCCAGCUCCCACCAAUACAUGGCUUCGGGGAGUCAGGCUCAAGCUGAAGUUCAGAGGUUAAAAGACCAGAUGGCUCAAAUGCAAGCGACUACAAUUGAGGUUCAAAGGAAAUAUGAAGAACUCCAGCUACAACUUAAAGCAGAGGCGGAAGCGAGGGAAGCAGCAGCUGCAGCGAGGGAAGCAGAGGCUGCAGCGAGAGAAGCAAAGCAGAGAAAAAAGUACGACGAACUUCAGCAGCAGCUUCAGAUUAUGAUGAAGAUGUUUAAGUCGCAACUUCCGCCUUCAUAGUGUAUGACAUAAAUAUUUUUAUCAUUUUAACAUUUAACAUUUAACAUUUUUUGCAAAAACAAUAUGAAUUCACUUUUAUUUAUUGAUAUUAAUAUUAUUUUAUUCCCUUAUGUUGAAAUAUUAUAUAAAUUUAUUGCUAUUGGUUGCUUUUGAAUUGUUGCUUUUGAAUUUUUGCUACAGGAGGGCCGAAAAAAUGAAAAAUUUAAUAUAAAAAAAAUCCCCAAAAUAGUGGCGUUUUUGUAUAAAAGCGCCACUAAAGAACAUGUUCUUUAGCGGCGUUUGUAAAAAAAUGCCACUAAAGAACAUGGUCUUUAGCGGCGUUUUUUUUCUAAGCGCCGCUAAAGAACAUGGUCUUUAGCGGCGUUUUUGUUUGUAAACGCUGCAAACGUUUGCGACGUUUUCGUUAGCGGCCUUCCGCAAAGAUCUUUAGUGGCGUUAAAAAGCGCCGCUAAAGGCCUAAAAAAACGCCGCUAAAAACCUGUUUUGGUGUAGUGAGUAAAUAAAAAAAUAAAUUAAUUAUGAUACAACCUUUUAAUUUAUUAAUUCUUUUCCUACAACCAAAUUUACAAUUUUCAAAAAUAGAGAGGAAGAAUCUUUUUAUUAGAUAAAGACCUUGUCAUUAGGCAGUAAUUUAUUGACAAUUUUUUCAUAGGAGUCAACCUAUUGAGAUCAACGAUUACGUUGGUUUUAGUGAGAAUAAACAUAACAAUGAUAAUAGUAUUAGUUAUUAUAAGAGAAUUGAAAAUGAUCACUAUUAAAAAUAUUAAAUUGAAGUAUAUACAGAUAUAACAAAAUACAAAUAUAGAUUAUAUUUAGGGUAAACUAUAAUUAAAAAUUAAACUUAUAAAAUACACUAUUAUAUUUAAGUUCAAUGUUAUAUUAAAUAAUAAUUAAAUGAGGUAAAUAUUAAAUUUAAACAUAAACUUUGUUUCAAUGUGCAAUUUGAUACAUGAACUUUUAUUUGGUACAAUUACACACAUGGAACUUGUAUUGUUGUUCAUAUGUAUAUAUGAAACUUAGAUUUUGAUCUAAUUAUACACUUUUACAGAAUAUUUAUUUUUAUAUUGGAUUAAUAUAGUUAUUUGUAUAUGUAAUAUCCAGUGUAAAAUAAUGCUAAUUCAAUAAUGUUGUUAAUGAUUUUAGAAAAUUGAAUCAAAUCAAAAUUUAAUAUAUAAAAGCGCACAAAAUAAAAGUUCAUGUAUGACAUCACAUAUUGAAUCAAAGUUUAUGUAUGUUGAGUAUAACUCAUAUUUCAGCCAAAUUUGAGAGAUAAUCUCCAGUUAACUCUGUUUAUUUGUUUCAGUCGAACUCCGAUUAGUUUAGAUUAUUUUAUUAUUAUUUGACUUACGAAUUUUCCUAUAAAUAGGCUCUUUUACAACCUUGAAAAAACCACCCAUUAAAGAUUAGAACUCAUAACACUUUUGGAGAAUUUUGUGUUUACGUUUUGAGGGUUCUUUGUUUUCGGGUUUCGGGGUUUAGUUUUUAUCUCCAUCUUUUGUACUCUUCGUUGUUUUGCUAUUAUAGUAAAAUUAUCUUUGCUUGUGGUUUUUAAUCCUCUUUGGAGGGGUUUUUUCACGUCAAAUUAGUGUAUUCAAUUUCUCAAUCUUUUCUCAAAUUUUACUUAUUUGUUGCUUAAUCGGGUUGAUUCCUAACAAGUGGUAUCAGAGCUAAUUCAAUUUUCGUAGAUCAGCCUGUUCAAAGAUGGCAGCAAUAAGGUUUGACAUUGAAAAGUUUGAUGGUUUCACAAAUUUUAAUCUGUGGCAAGUUCGAAUGAUGGCAAUUCUAGUUUAGACCGGCCUGAAAAAGGUCACUACCGGGAAAAAGCCUAAGAAUCUAGAUCAGACAAUGAGAAGAGCUUGAUGAAAAUGUCAUAUCUGCAAUCCAGUUGUGUCUCGCGAAUAGGGUAUUGCAAGAGGUAUUGAUGGAGAAAGUCUCAUCCGCUUUGUGGAAAAUGUUAGAAACUUUUUAUGCGACUAAGUCACUGCCUAACCAUUUAGUGUUGAAAUGACAUCUAUUUACGUUUCGCAUGAACAAAUGUGAGCUUAUUAGAGAUCACAUUAGUCAACUUAUUACUCUUUUGAAUGAUUUAAAGAUUGUUGAGGUUAAGGUUGACGGUGAAAAUUAGGCUAUGAUAUUACUAUGCUCUUUACCCUCUUCAUACAAGUCUUUCAGGGAGAUCCUGAUUUGUGGCAGAGGCAAACUCUCGUUCAAGGAUGUGAAGGGUCAUUUGUUGAGUAAAGACAAACUUGACAAUAAGUUUGGUUCGGAUAGCAAUAAAGAUAGGCAAGCUUCUGUUUUGGUAGCAUCAAAGAAGCGAGACAAAAGAUUAUUACACAUUUAAAUAUAUUUAAUUGUGCUAAUUUUAAAGUAAAGUUAUUACUUAAAUAGAACUCUAAGUCUAAAAUAUAGGGAAAAGAAAAAGGUUCUCAAAAUUAUAAUUAUAAUUUACCAUUAUUAAUUAGUGUAAAAUAGAAUUAUUAUUUGAAUAGAAUUUUAAGCAUUUUAAUUAUCAUUUACUUAACAUUAGGGUUAAUUAUGUUAAUUAAUUAUUAUUUUGAAUAAUAUUACUUUGGACAUAAAAGUAAAAUUAUAUUAUGCUGAAUAUGUUAAAAAUGUUUUAAUUAUUAUUUAAAUUUUUUAUUAUAAUAUUUGAAUUGAUAAGUUUUUAUAUUUUAAUUAUAUUUAAUAAUUUAAAUAAAAAUAUUAUUUUACCUCAAUUGUCGUAAUAUUUAAUAACGCAUGCAUGUGAAGUUCGAAGCUAAUAGGUGAAUUCAUUACUUGAGUAGCUUCCCUGCCAACCACAACUGCAUUUCACCUGUUUUAAACUCCAGUAUGCAUGAGAAGAUGACCUACCAAAACCUUUAAUAUUGACCAAGUUUCCUCCUUUUCAACCAUAUAUAAUGAUCAAAUAUUAACAACUGCUCCAAUGCCUAUAUAAACCCCAACACCAUGCUUCUCUUCCUCACUCAUAACUAUUCAGAUAAAACACUUUGUUUCAUUUGCUUAAUUAGUUUCAAAAUCUCUCCACAAAAUGGGUUAUUUCAAUUGCAUUGCUUUAGCAUGCUUGAUGGCUUUGUCGUUUUCAAGCAUUGAUGUUGGCCUAGCAGCUCGCCACCUUCAGCAGAUGCCACCAAUGCCAACAUUGCCUACAACCACACUCCCACCAUUGCCAUCUAUCCCUAAUCUCCCGCAGCCAACAAUGCCAAGGCCUGGGGCGCUUCCACCACUUCCUACCAUGCCUGCUUUGCCUACUUUUCCUGCUAUACCAACGGCCACACUGCCUCCUCUGCCAAGCAUGCCUUCAAUCCCAACAAUCCCAACUGCAAUUCCCUUAAUUCCAUUCCUUUCUCCACCACCUUCUCCUUCCUCUACUCCUUGAAAUACCCAUUUCUUCCCCUGUCCAUUGACAGAUAAAAUGUGGCUACAUAUAUACUAGAUUUUGAUUAAGGUGUUUUUAGUCGUCUUCGUCUUUUGAUUUGGAGUAUUGUUUGUUCUUCAACACAGAUAGUAUUUGUUUGUAGAAAUGGGAGUUUCCCAUUUUCCAUAAUCUGUUGUACUUUGAUUUGUUAUUUGCUUGUUAUGGGAGUAUAUUCAUGAAAUCUGCCUGAUUAGCUCUUGCAAUGUUCCUCAGAUUAAUCUAUUUUAAUUUAUUUUUUCAAUGUAUUUCCUAGUUUAUAUUAUAUCUUCUGCCUACAUUAACACCCAAUAUAUGUAUUUUAAACAAGGAAGAGUUGAGAUAAAAUACAUUUCUUAAUCCUCAACCAAAUCAACAUUCAAAGGUUUCAACCCUGAAAUUGACGCCUUAUGUAAGAAUCAAAUACAAAACUUCAAAACAUUAAAAUAUGAUUCUAGUUUUUCUAUUUUUCGAUACCUUUAGAAUUUUAUUUUUUUAAAAUUAAUCUUUCUAUUUUUUGAUUUAAAAAUACAAGUUGUCUUCCUAACACUAUUAAAGUUUUUCAAUUAAAUUCAAGUUUAUUAUAAAAGAGUAUUAAUAGGGUUAGCGAUUGGAUUUGGAUUUUAAAAUAUAAAAGGUAAAAAUAAAUAAAUUCUUAAAAAAAUAAAAAAAAUAAAAUUUCGAAUAUAGGCUAUUAAAACUGAUUAUAUAACACAAAGCAUUAUACAAAAAUUAAAUUAGGCGAGUAAAUAGAAAUUAUUAUAACAAUUUAGUGUUGAGUACUUUAAGACAAAAACUCUCCCAAGAAGCAAGCUUUUUGGUAGUUCUAAUUUCCUAUUUCUUGCUUGCUUGUAGACUGCCUAAUGCUAAUGGCAAGUUCAACUUGAGGCAGACCUCUUAGUUUUUACCCAACAUUAUUAUUUAACGCUUCAAAAUUACUUAAAUUUAAAAUGAUUUGAAUCAAACAAAUAAUUUGAAAUGAUCUUACAUGAAAAUUUUGAUUGCAAAAUUCGAAUUACCUAAAAUAAAAAAGCUCGAACACAACAUUGAUUCGAACUUAAAACGAUCUAAAAAAAUCUUUUAACCGAAUUGACCUGAUCCGGAUUGAUGCAAAUUGUCUCAAUUGACAAGUAUUAUAUGGUUAAACAAGUGAAAAUAUUAUUAUUUAACGAUUGAAAAUGAAUCAAAUUUGAAAUGAUUUGAAUCAAACAAGUGAUAAGUUAUAAAAGUAACAUAUUUUAAUCUCAUUCUUAAUGCGUUUAUGGAUGAUUAAUUGUGAAAAUUAGUGAAUUUGAUGCUCCUAAUCAUUUAAAUUCAUGUUUCUAUACUUAGGAGAGCAUUUGGGAGUGAAAGAAGCAAAAAAUAAGCCAAAACCAGACAAAUAGAGUUGUUUUCAGGAGGCACAUGGCCUGGGCAUUUCCACACGGGCAGGACACACAUCCAUGUGUGCCACACGGGCUAGACACAUGCCCAUGUACCAGCCCGUGUCGAUUUAGCACCCUGCUUCCCAAAUACACAGAAAAACAAUUUUUAGGCUUUCUGAGAAUUCUAAAGUCUAUAAAUACCAAUUAGAAGAAGACAUAAGGGGUUGAUCAGAGAAGAUAGAAUAAAACACUCGAAGAUUUCCUUUGAAAUCUCCUUUUAAUUUCUUUUGAAACCAUCGGAAUCAACUCGGAAGCAAAUUUCCAUCAAGAUUGAAGAUCUCCUUUUAAUUUCUUUUGAAGUUUUAUCGAGUUUCUUUAUGUCUUGCGGUUAUUCUGACUUUGAGAUGUUUCCAUUCAGGAUUAUGAACUAAUUCCCUAGAUACCUAGGGAGGAUGAUGAAUCCUUUUAUUUAAUGUCUGUUUUUACACGAUAAAUACUUGAAUCUUGUUCUCAAUUAUGUAUGCUUAUUUCUUGUAUUAAUAUUUUUUGGAUAUUAAUUCAUGUUUAAUGUGCUUAAUUCAAUGGAGCAAAAGUCUGUUUGAAAGUAGAUCUAGUAUAAUUGAGCGGAGUUGCAUGCAAUCCUAAAAAUAGGACGACAUAAAUCUACCGGAUUAGAGUCAAAUUUAAUAAGGGAAUCCAUAGAUCGAGUUAGUGCGAUAAUAGGGAUUUUAAUUAGAAAUAUAUUUCAAUUAAUCAACCUAGAGUCAGUUGUUUUAACUCUCAAAAGAGAUAUUAACAUAAUUUAGGGAUUUCUACGGAUCAAAACACAAGUGAAUAAAUCGUUUAAUUCAGAUUCAUAAUAAUAGGUGAAGUUUAGGUGGAUUCUUUCUUGGAUAUUGUCUAUCUCAUUGGUUAAUAUUCGAUUAUUUCCUUGAUUCAUUCUCUGUUGCGUUCAUAGUUAAAUUAGUUUAGUAAAUUAAGAUUAAAACACAUCACUCCAAAUUGUCGGCUACAUAAUAGAAAAAUGAUAAUUACUAAUACUUUUAGUCCUCGUGGAUACGAUGUUCUCUACUCGCCAUAGAUAUACUAUUGUUCGAUAGGUGCGCUUGCCUUUGUCGUAUUUAUAGUUAGUUUAGUGACCAUUAAGCUUUUGGACCUUUGCCGAGGACAAAAAUAUUAAGAACACUUUAUUUUUAUUAAUUUAGCCAUUUUAUUUUAUUUUUAUAAUUUUGUUUUUAGUUUAAUUUUUACAUUCUAAUUUUUCUUUUAUUUGUUUUAGUUUAUGACUAAAAAGACUCAUCGGAACCAUUAGUGUUUGAUAGUGAAAUUGAAAGUACAACUCAUAAAAACCAUAGAGAAGCAAGACAGAUUACAUGAGGUUGACCGAAUUGACCUGAUCCGGAUUGAUGCAAAUUAUCUCAAUUGACAAGUAUUAUGUGGUUAAUUUACACCAUCAAUAUUUAAAAUAUUAGUAUAAUAUUUAAAAUAUUAGAGUCUGUUUGUUAGAAGUAAAAUAUUUUCCGGAAAAGCUUUUCAGCUUUUUUCAGUGUUUGUUUGGCUGAAAAUGUUUUCCUUAGGUAAAAUCAAUUACAAAACACGGGAAAAGAAGCCCUUAAUUUUGGAAAAUGUCUUACGGAUUUCAUUUCUGUAAGACAUUUUCCGGUUCCUCCUUCAUCCAGGUACGGCUUAUUCUCCUUCUUCCUUUCUUCAUUCCUUUUCCUUCUUCCGUUCUUCAUCUUCUCCUCCAGGUAAGUUGCAAUCCAGUGUAGCGCCCAAUCCUCUCCAUGCCACGUUGAUCGACCGAUUUACUGUAUUACAAUGCCUUUUUGGGGGGUAGCCAUCAAUUUUCUGGCUCUUUCGAUUUACUAACAUUUUUCUCCAAAAUUCUCGAGCAAUAGUAAUUGACAUUUAGGGCCUAGUCUAUAAAUUACAGCAGAUGGCACCGUUCUUUUUCAUUUUUCUCUAGUUCGCUCGCGCAGAUGCCAUGACUAGCUCAUCCGAUCAUUCACGCAAGGUUUCUAUAUUUUUUCUAAAAGAAUUUUUAUGUUAUCUAUUUUCCCUAGUUGAGGUUGCGUCUGCCAAUUUGUUUGAUUUAUUUUCUUUUUUGUUUCUCUAUUUGUUUGAUUUUUUUUUACUCUUUUUGUUUGGAGUAUAUGCUUUUCGUAGGCUUUGAGCAAGAUCGCAUGUAAUAGACUCCAGAAAGAAUUAAUGGAAUGGCAAGUUAAUCCACCCACUCUCCUUUAUGGUUACAUUGUUUCCAUUAGUCAUGUGGUAUUUGUAAAUUACAAUUCAAAUUGUCAUGAUAAAUUUCAAUAAAUGACAUCUGCAUAAAUGAGAGGUCAUUUAAUGUUCCAUUGGUAUUGCAUAUGAUUAGCACUUUUCUUGGAUGUAAGACUAACUACAUAACCGACAUAGCAUCUUAUAUCAUUGUUCAUAGUAGUUCUUGAGCCAUCUAUUUAUAUUGGAACUAUUCACUUAUGGUGUUAUGUUGCCAUUUCCAUCAUUCGUUUUUCUAGUCAAACUGUGAGCCUGAGAGUAUAUUAAGGUUUCUUAGAAAUGUCUAGCAUAUUAUAUUGCUAGACUGAUAUAGGAUAAGUUUCUCCCCAUGUUUUUCUUUCAGAGGUGACUUACUAGAGAGUUUGAGUUUUUUUGUUGCUGUCCUAUGCUUGGAGAUGCUCUGUUCUAGCAUAUUACUAGUUAUGAAAGAUGUCUAAGAGAGGUUGCUUGUUCACCUAAUGGAAAUAUUAAUUAGGAGAAAAAUAUUCACUGGAAGGUGUCUAAGAAAGGCUGGUCAUCUUUUGCAUUAAUGCGACUAACUGUUUAGCGAAGUACUUGUUUUGAGCAGUUUACUUAUCAUAGCCAUGAAUGAGUCUUGACCAUCUAGAAUGUUGUAUGUAUCACACAAGAAAGUAAAAUAUGGUCCGUCUUAAAAGUUUGUCUUUCGUGUCUGUGGGCUUUACAUGAUCCUCAAGGUGUUGGUGAUUAGGUAAAUUUUCAUGAAGACUUUGAAUAUGGCACUCUGGUGUGAACUGUUCUUUCUUUAGGUGUUGAUUAAUUGCAACCUUCCUGGCCAUUAAGAAAUCUAUUUUGCAUUGUUUUGUUAGUGUUGUCUAGGCAUGUUCCUAGGUGCGCUUGCACCUUGGCACUAGACAACAAAAGUGCCUUAGACCUUUUUGAGUGAACCUCAUUUGGGUGCACCUAGGCAAUCUUUUUUGUAAGGCAAUAGGUGCAAAAAAAGAAAGGCCUACUUGAUUGUAGUUCUCUUUAANNNNNNNNNNNNNNNNNNNNNNNNNNNNNNNNNNNNNNNNNNNNNNNNNNNNNNNNNNNNNNNNNNNNNNNNNNNNNNNNNNNNNNNNNNNNNNNNNNNNUUUUCUCACUUAUUCAUUAGAUGUACCUUUGCUAGUAAUAAAGAGAGUGUACCAAACCCUCUACUUCUUAGUAUUUGAAAAUCAAAUAGAAAACCUUGAACAUAAGGAAAUCUUGCAUAUUGAACCAAAAUAACUACAUAUGUCAAUCAUCUUUUAGAGAAAUUAGUCCACAUUCACACACAUACUGUGCUUUACUUUCACUUGGAUUUUUUUUUCUUUUUUGCAACUUGUCUCUGAGUCCAUGUAAAGGGUCUAAUGUAGAACAACAGGAAAGGAUGCUUGAUCAUUAGCAUCCAUUUUGCACUUCUCUUUGUGAUAUGCAUGUGGUCUAUUAUCUAGCUACCCAACAUUCAAAAUCUUGCAUUGAUCCUAUUUUGCAGAUAUUCUGUAUGAUAGCUGGUCCCCAGCCAUGACUGUAAGUUCUAUCUGCAUCAGCAUUCUCUCCAUGUUAUCAAGCUCAACUGCCAAGGUUUGUUGGAAUUAUUAGCAAUUUGACCGUUUGUUUUGCUCCCUAAGAUCUGGCCUUAUAUGUUCAAAGGUGGAAUACUGAAUUCACUCUCUAAUUAUGCAGCAAAGGCCGGCUGAUAACGAUCGAUAUGUUAAGAACUGUCGCAAUGGCAGGUCUCCCAAGGAGACGAGAUGGUUGUUCCAUGACAAUAAAGUAUAAUAAUAUGAACCUAUCAUCUAUAAUCUGUGUAUAAAAACUGAGGUUACAGGGAUAGGUAAUCGUUUACAUUUGUCACGUUGUGUAUGAAAUUAUGACUUAAAUGUAGAUUUAUUUUGAAUAUUGUUACCUAAUGCAAGAAGCAGACUGAACAAUAUAAACCUUUCUUUUCUUCUAUUCCAGUUAUGCAUACACUUUGUUGUUUGUUUUCUCUCUUCUUUAGUUAUUUUGUAGUUGUUGACCAUUUUGCAUUUGGUCUCCAACAUUUUAAGGGAAACAAUUUAACAUUCGCUUUGGAUAUUCUUUUUGGAAGCUACUGUAGAAGAUUGGGGUGAGGAUUUACAUGUUUAGUAGGUACUCAGUUUUUAUAUAAAUUAUUACGGGAGGGAAGAGUCUAUUCGUACUUGUGUAUUAAUUUUAAACACUUUCUUAACUUUUUUUUAUGACAUUUUAACAAUUUAGUUGUUAAAUUUAUCGUAUUUGUCAUGUAUGUAAACUUUUAAAUCAAUUUGAUAUGUAAAAACAAUUUAAAAUAUAAAUUUAUUAAUAUGUGUAAAAACAAUUUUUUUGGAAAAUAUUUUCAGGAAAUCUGCCAAACAGCAGAAAAUAUUUUAUACAGAUUCAUCCAAACACCAGAAAAUAUUUUCCAGUAAAUCAUUUUAUAGAAAAGUAAAACAUUUUCCAGAAAUUAUUUUACGGAAAACAUUUUACUGCCAAACAAACGGACCCUUAGUACCGGAAACUUAACUAACUUGGAGACUUGUUAGAGACUUGUUGAAGUAUACUAUAUGACAUAUAUUAUUAAUUUAAUUAAGAGGCUGACUUGAUUACAUGAGGUAGCUUGUAUGCCAACCACAUCUACUGCAUUUCACCAAUUUUAAACUCCAAUAUCCCAUGAGAAGAUGAGCUACCAAAACCUUCGACAUUGACCAAGUUUUCUCUUUUCCAUCCAUAUAUGAUCAAAUAUUACCAACUACUCCAAUGCAUUUAUAAACCCCAAUAUCAUGUUUUGUUUUCCUCGCUCAUAACUAUUCAGAUAAAGAACUUUUUUUCAUCUACGUAAUUUGUUUCAAAAUCUCUCGACAAAAAUGGGUUAUUUCAAUUGCAUUGCUUUAGCAUUCUUGAUGGCUUUGUCGUUGCCAAGCAUUAACGUUGGCCAAGCUGCUCGUCACCUUCAGCAGCUGCCUCCAAUGCCAACUUUGCCUACAGCAACACUCCCACCAUUUCCAUUUAUCCUUAAUACCCCACAGCCAACCAUACCAAC